GUGAGGAAUAUUGCGCAAUGGAGGCAACUCUGACGCAGCCAUGCCGCGUGCAGGAAGAAGGCGCUACGCGUUGUAAACUGCUUUUAACCGGGAAGAAACCCCAGGACGUGUCCUGGGUUGACGGUACCGGAGGAAUAAGCACCGGCUAACUUCGUGCCAGCAGCCGCGGUAAUACGAAGGGUGCAAGCGUUAUCCGGAUUCAUUGGGUUUAAAGGGUGCGUAGGCAGAGCGUUAAGUCAGUGGUGAAAUCCUGCAGCUUAACUGUAGACUUGCCAUUGAUACUGGCGCUCUUGAGUGCGCUUGAAGUGGGCGGAAUGUGCCGUGUAGCGGUGAAAUGCUUAGAUAUGGCACAGAACACCAAUUGCGAAGGCAGCUCACUAAGGCGAUACUGACGCUGAGGCACGAAAGCGUGGGGAUCGAACAGGAUUAGAAACCCCAGUAGUCC
rnacentral:rRNA from 1 species